UAGGGAAUCUUCGGCAAUGGACGAAAGUCUGACCGAGCAACGCCGCGUGAGUGAAGAAGGUUUUCGGAUCGUAAAACUCUGUUGUUAGAGAAGAACAAGGACGUUAGUAACUGAACGUCCCCUGACGGUAUCUAACCAGAAAGCCAAGGCUAACUACGUGCCAGCAGCCGCGGUAAUACGUAGGUGGCAAGCGUUGUCCGGAUUUAUUGGGCGUAAAGCGUGCGCAGGCGGUUUCUUAAGUCUGAUGUGAAAGCCCCCGGCUCAACCGGGGAGGGUCAUUGGAAACUGGGAGACGUGAGUGCAGAAGAGGAGAGUGGAAUUCCAUGUGUAGCGGUGAAAUGCGUAGAUAUAUGGAGGAACACCAGUGGCGAAGGCGGCUCUCUGGUCUGUAACUGACGCUGAGGCUCGAAAGCGUGGGGAGCAAACAGG
rnacentral:rRNA from 1 species